CCGUUCUGAUGGCCUUGUGCAGUUCAUUGUCCGCUGCCGAACUCAGGGUUAUGAAAGAGGAUUAUGGC
rnacentral:tRNA from 1 species